UACGUAGGGUGCGAGCGUUAAUCGGAAUUACUGGGCGUAAAGGGUGCGCAGGCGGUUUUGUAAGCCAGAUGUGAAAUCCCCGGGCUUAACCUGGGAAUGGCAUUUGGGACUGCAAGGCUGGAGUGCGGCAGAGGAGACUGGAAUUCCUGGUGUGAGCAGUGAAAUACGUAGAUAUCAGGAGGAAUACCGAUGGCGAAGGCAGGUCUCUGGGCUGACACUGACGCUCAUGCACGAAAGCGUGGGGAGCAAACAGG
rnacentral:rRNA from 1 species